UAAGUCUGAUGUGAAAUCCCCCGGCUCAACCUGGGAGCGUGCAUUGGAAACUGGGGAGACUUGAGUCUCGAAGAGGAGAGUGGAAUUCCACGUGUAGCGGUGAAAUGCGUAGAGAUGUGGAGGAACACCGGUGGCGAAGGCGACUCUCUGGACUAUAACUGACGCUCAGGAGCGAAAGCGUGGGGAGCGAACAGGAUUAGAUACCCUGGUAGUCCACGCCGUAAACGAUGACUGCUUGGAGGUUGGGCCCUUGAGGCCCGUAUUGCUGAGCUUAACGGAUUAGUCAAUCGGCCGGGGAAGUACGGCCCCAGGACUGAACUUCAAUGGAUUUGACGGGGGCCCCCACAAGCGGGGAACCUGGGGGUUUAUUUCAAGCCACCCCAAAAAACCUUACUGGGCCUGGACUUCCGAGGACUU
rnacentral:rRNA from 1 species